GAUAAACGCUGGCGGCGUGCCUAAUACAUGCAAGUCGAGCGAACGGACGAGAAGCUUGCUUCUCUGAUGUUAGCGGCGGACGGGUGAGUAACACGUGGAUAACCUACCUAUAAGGCUGGGAUAACUUCGGGAAACCGGAGCUAAUACCGGAUAAUAUUUUGAACCGCAUGGUUCAAAAGUGAAAGACGGUCUUGCUGUCACUUAUAGAUGGAUCCGCGCUGCAUUAGCUAGUUGGUAAGGUAACGGCUUACCAAGGCAACGAUGCAUAGCCGACCUGAGAGGGUGAUCGGCCACACUGGAACUGAGACACGGUCCAGACUCCUACGGGAGGCAGCAGUAGGGAAUCUUCCGCAAUGGGCGAAAGCCUGACGGAGCAACGCCGCGUGAGUGAUGAAGGUCUUCGGAUCGUAAAACUCUGUUAUUAGGGAAGAACAUAUGUGUAAGUAACUGUGCACAUCUUGACGGUACCUAAUCAGAAAGCCACGGCUAACUACGUGCCAGCAGCCGCGGUAAUACGUAGGUGGCAAGCGUUAUCCGGAAUUAUUGGGCGUAAAGCGCGCGUAGGCGGUUUUUUAAGUCUGAUGUGAAAGCCCACGGCUCAACCGUGGAGGGUCAUUGGAAACUGGAAAACUUGAGUGCAGAAGAGGAAAGUGGAAUUCCAUGUGUAGCGGUGAAAUGCGCAGAGAUAUGGAGGAACACCAGUGGCGAAGGCGACUUUCUGGUCUGUAACUGACGCUGAUGUGCGAAAGCGUGGGGAUCAAACAGGAUUAGAUACCCUGGUAGUCCACGCCGUAAACGAUGAGUGCUAAGUGUUAGGGGGUUUCCGCCCCUUAGUGCUGCAGCUAACGCAUUAAGCACUCCGCCUGGGGAGUACGACCGCAAGGUUGAAACUCAAAGGAAUUGACGGGGACCCGCACAAGCGGUGGAGCAUGUGGUUUAAUUCGAAGCAACGCGAAGAACCUUACCAAAUCUUGACAUCCUUUGACAACUCUAGAGAUAGAGCCUUCCCCUUCGGGGGACAAAGUGACAGGUGGUGCAUGGUUGUCGUCAGCUCGUGUCGUGAGAUGUUGGGUUAAGUCCCGCAACGAGCGCAACCCUUAAGCUUAGUUGCCAUCAUUAAGUUGGGCACUCUAAGUUGACUGCCGGUGACAAACCGGAGGAAGGUGGGGAUGACGUCAAAUCAUCAUGCCCCUUAUGAUUUGGGCUACACACGUGCUACAAUGGACAAUACAAAGGGCAGCGAAACCGCGAGGUCAAGCAAAUCCCAUAAAGUUGUUCUCAGUUCGGAUUGUAGUCUGCAACUCGACUACAUGAAGCUGGAAUCGCUAGUAAUCGUAGAUCAGCAUGCUACGGUGAAUACGUUCCCGGGUCU
rnacentral:rRNA from 1 species